rnacentral:rRNA from 1 species
UCGAGCGCGUGAAUAAGUGAAUCCCUUCGGGGUGAAACUUAUGGAUCGAGCGGCGGACGGGUGAGUAACACGUGGGCAACCUGCCUGUAAGACUGGGAUAACUCCGGGAAACCGGGGCUAAUACCGGAUGACACUUUUCUUCACCUGAAGGGAAGUUAAAAGGCGGC